UCACCAGGUCGUUACCUAUGGAGUUGCGUAGGCUCUGUCUUCAGUGCACAGACGUGUGAUCGUGCCUUACAGUCUGUAUCAUCCUCCCGACAUCGCGGGGAGGUUUGUGGUCCAGGUGACGUGGAGUGACCCCCUCUUCUCGGUGACCAUGGCUCCAGAGCCCUGACAGAAACGCGCAGCACACCCGCUGGGUAACCUAAAGAGCAUCUACGCAGUCACUCUGCACAACCGCAGUGCAGCCCUUCCUGCCCGUGAGUCCUGUCCCAGCGCUUUAAUAAACUCACCUUUUGUACCAAAGACGUCUUCAAGAAUUCUUUCUUGGCCGUUGGCUCCAGACCCCACGAACCCCACCGUCACCCCAAAUCCCCCUCAGCAGGAGUCACAGAAUGAGAAGAGAAACAUCUGCAGAAACGGUGGCUGACAGCCUCCCAAGUAAGCUGAGGGAAUGGGAAACAGGCUCCAACAAAAGGAAUCCAAGUCAGACACAUCACAAGCAGUUAGAAACUAAAAGACAUCUUGAAAGCAGCCAGAGAAAAUGAGACAUCACUUAUAGGGGAUAAUUCAAAUGACAGUCCGUGUUUUCAUCACAAACUAUGGAGGCAAGAACAAGCGACACUUUCCUUAAAGUGCUGAAAAUGACUGUCAACUCAGGAUUCUAGAUCCCGUGGAGUAUCUGUCAGGAGUGAAGCUCAAACUGAGACAUUCUCAGGUGAAGGUGGAUGAACUGAUGGCCAGCAGACCUGCUUUAAAGCAAGAGCCAAAAGAUGUGCUUCAGACAGAAGAGGGAACUUGGGACAUUGGGAGUGAGGAAGGAGCAGCCAUAAUGUUUGGUCUUUGACCCUCAGUUCCCGAAAGAGCUCCAGAGGCUCCAAGGUGAAAGGUGUGCCCCUUUCAACCACACCUGGAAUCCGUGUGAAUGAAGUGACUUUGGGAAAUAAUCCAAGGAGGGGGGCUGGCUGCCCGAGGAGCCUCUGCCCUGACCUCUGGGGGGGGGGGGGGGGGCUGGAGAUGGAGUUCAUUCGCCAAGGACCAGUCAUCAGUCACACGCUGGUGUAACAAGGCCUCGUAACAACUCAAAGGGACAAGGUUUGGAGAGCUUCUGGGUUGAUAAACACAUGGAGAUGUGGGGGCAGGGGUGCGCCCAGAGAGCAUGGCAACUCCACACCCUCUUCCAUCCGGCCGUUCCUGAGUUCUAGCCUCUUCUAAUAAACCAAUAAUCUCGUAA